AUGACCAAAAUAAUGGAGGCUGUUGCAAUUACUCUCUAUUGUCUUCAAGAACUUGAUGCAGCAACAACCUCUGCUCCAAGAGCUCCAUCCACGGGGAUUACUCUGCCUUUGACAAUGUCAAUGAGCAGCCUUUGUCUGGGUGACACCACUGUGAGUUGUGCCUGGGCCACAGCCUUGGUGACUUCAGACAAAGCACCCCCAAACCUGCCUCAAGGGGUGUCUUCCCUGCUACACAAUCCUCAUGGGCCCUGGAGGGCUGCUUCCUGCUUAUUCAAUAUAAAGUUAUGAUGAGCUGCAGAUGCUGCAGUCACAGCUGCCAAUAGGUUACUUUGGAAUUCCCUUUGCAAUACCCACAGAAGCCCUUACCAGCCGAGAUGGGAAUCUAGCUAAUAAACCAAAUUCAGGUAAUGUCACAAAGUUUGAACAAGGAGACUCUGCAUCCCCUGCACCUCCAAAGACACCAAUCAGGCACAGCAGAGUCAAUCUCAGACCUACCACACGGCCCAGCAACUCUUUUUGAAUACUGCUCUGCCACUUGGCUAAACAACUAUACCAGCCUCCUCUACUACACGGGCAUGUCCAGUGCCUUCCAGUAUGGGACCACUAUGUUUGUCCCUCCGAUCUCAGCAAAGCAGCACGGUGUGAGCCUUAGUACUCCCCCGACCUUUUUUUUCAGCAGGCCAGUGGCUAUGAGCAGCAUACUUACAGCACAGGUUAUGGCGAUUUGACCCAGGGGAGAGCAGGAGAAUACACCAAAUGGCUAUGGUGGAUCAUUUCAGGCACCAAACAAGUGGCCUUGUUCUGGGCCUGGCAAUGGAGUAUCAGUAUCUUCAGGCACUGGCUUACCUAAUAUGAUUGGUUCUGUCUACAAGACACUGAUAUUUGACAAGCAGCGAUUUCAUGCAAGCAUUCCUCCAUCUUUCAACCUACCCUUUGACUUGGUCGCCACUGGGCCCCUCGCCCCUGGAGCGGCCCUUGGCUACACUUGCCUGGUUCCUGCACAUCAUGUGGGCCCACCAGCCACCCCACUCCCAGCUGCUGCACCACCGCCUGCCACAGGAUGCCCGAGCGGCUCUGGUCAGCGUAGCCAGCCCAACUAUGGCAACUCUCUUUACUGGACAAACUGGACCCUGAAAAGGAGAGGGUGGACUCUUGGGCAUGGUCUACAAUGGGCAGGAAAGAACACAUGGAACACAUUUUUGGGAGCCCUUGCUCUUCCUAGAAUUCUGAGACACAAUUCUUUGAGCCUCUGUGGGAAGCCCGACUCCCUGACCCACUGUUGUAUGUAA